GAUGAACGCUGGCGGCGUGCCUAAUACAUGCCAGUCGAGCGAACAGACUAGGUGCUUGCUCCUCUGACAUUAGCGGCGGACGGGUGAGUAACACGUGGAUAACCUACCUUUAAGACUGGGAUAACUUCGGGAAACCAGUGCUAAUACCGGAUAAUAUCUUUAACCGUAUGGUUCAAUAGUGAAAGACGCUUUUGCUGUCACUAAUGAAUAGAUCCGCGCCGCAUUAGCUGGUUGGUAGGGUAACGGCUUACAAGGGCAACAAAGAGAAGCCGACCGAAGAGGGGAAUCGCCCAAUUGGGAAUGGGACCACGCUCCAGCCCCCUAGGGGAGGCAGCAGAAGGGAAUCUCCGGCAAUGGGCGAAAGCCGACCGGAGCAAGGCGGCGGGAGGGAGGAAGGUCUCCGGUCCGUAAAAUCUGGUUAUAAGGGAAGAACAAAUGGGGAAUUAAAUGUGCACCUAGUGACGGUACCUAAUCAGAAAGCCACGGCUAACUACGUG
rnacentral:rRNA from 1 species